CUGAAAACCUGAAAAAUAACGGUCUUAGAUGAUUUUCAUACACUAAGACAACUUUGGCAAACUCAAUUUGGGGAGAUCAAAUUGCAUAUUUUUAUAAUUAGUACCAAUUUUAUCAGAUAACAUAACAUUUAACAUAACGUCUAUCAACUUAUCAAGUUGACAUAGCGGUAAAAUUCAACUGUCAGUGAACAGGCACUUCGAUCACGAUUUUCACGGGUCUACAUUAAAUUCACACUUUCAGGGGAUAAUGGGUUUGUAAAACAUGUUUGUUGUUACCUAUUCAUUCAGUCUCAGUGUUAUUUGACACAUCUUUGGGGUAGUUUUCCCUUAAAUUCCAUCGUGGCGAGUGCUUGUUUACGUAUAUUGGAAGUUGCCAUUCCAACGAAUGGUCACUUCCGGGUAACGGUACUUCUUUAUAAAGUUAUAAUAAUACAUAAAAGUAUUAUUAAGAUAUGAUUAAAUUACUUGCUGGCCUUCCUUUUACUGUGUAGGAUAUUUAAUAAUAAGAUAUAAUUACGUUAAGUACGUUUUUGUGAAGCG
rnacentral:lncRNA from 1 species